rnacentral:rRNA from 1 species
UACGGGGGGAGCAAGCGUUGUUCGGAUUUACUGGGCGUAAAGGGCGCGUAGGCGCGUGACAAGUCACUUGUGAAAUCUCCGGGCUUAACUCGGAACGGUCAAGUGAUACUGUCGUGCUAGAGUACAGAAGGGGCAACUGGAAUUCUCGGUGUAGCGGUGAAAUGCGUAGAUAUCGAGAGGAACACCUGCGGCGAAGGCGGGUUGCUGGGCUGAUACUGACGCUGAGGAGCGAAAGCGUGGGUAGCAAACAGG